GUAGGUGGCAAGCGUUGUCCGGAAUUAUUGGGCGUAAAGCGCGCGCAGGCGGUCCUUUAAGUCUGAUGUGAAAGCCCACGGCUCAACCGUGGAGGGUCAUUGGAAACUGGGGGACUUGAGUACAGAAGAGGAAAGCGGAAUUCCAAGUGUAGCGGUGAAAUGCGUAGAGAUUUGGAGGAACACCAGUGGCGAAGGCGGCUUUCUGGUCUGUAACUGACGCUGAGGCGCAAAAGCGUGGGGAGCAAACAGGAUUAGAUACCCUGGUAGUCCACGCCGUAAACGAUGAGUGCUAAGUGUUAGGGGGUUUCCCGCCCCCCUUAGUGCUGCAGCUAACGCAUUAAGCACUCCGCCUGGGGAGUACGGCCGCAAGGCUG
rnacentral:rRNA from 1 species